CCUACGGGAGACAGCAGUGGGGAAUAUUGGGCAAUGGACGCAAGUCUGACCCAGCAAUGCCGCGUGAAGGCAGAAGGCUUUCGGGUUGUAAACUUCUUUUAAGGGGGAAGAGCAGAAGACGGUACCCCUUGAAUAAGCCACGGCUAACUACGUGCCAGCAGCCGCGGUAAUACGUAGGUGGCAAGCGUUGUCCGGAUUUACUGGGUGUAAAGGGUGUGCAGCCGGAGAGACAAGUCAGAUGUGAAAUCCACGGGCUCAACCCGUGAACUGCAUUUGAAACUGUUUCCCUUGAGUGUCGGAGAGGUAAUCGGAAUGCGUGGUGUAGCGGUGAAAUGCAUAGAUAUAAGGAAGAACACCAGUGGCGAAGGCAGAUGACGGGACGAAGACUGACGGUGAGGCGCGAAAGCGUGGGGAGCGAACAGGAUUAGAUACCCCUGUAGUC
rnacentral:rRNA from 1 species